rnacentral:lncRNA from 1 species
CUGUCUCCCUCUUUUGCACCUCUGUGCUGUAUUCUGGUUGAUGUAUUAAUAAGAAUACAAAAAAAGUAAUUAACAAAGCAAAAAUAAAUUUACGUAGGUGUGCCUGCUCUCUCUCGGGUAUGUUUUUUUUCUGCCAAUCAUUUUUAAUCCACUUUAAUAGUAGUUAGCUUUUGAUUAUAUAAAUUUAAUUUGUUGUGAUGAAGUUUGAUUAUUUUUAAAUUGGGGUUGGUCUAUAAGCUUAAUUAGGGGUUAAUGUUAGUGAAAUUAGCGUCUGUGUUGUGAGAAAUUAGAUCUAUUUGAGAAUUUUGAGUUAUUCUUUGCAAUUGAGGUACUAGGUUUUAUCCUUUUUUUUUAAUAGUUUUGGGAGAUUGACAGCUUAAUUUGGGUUAGUGUUGGGCCCUUUUCUUUUGGUUCUGGGAGACUUGUAGCUUGGUUAGGGUUCAAUGUUAGUAAGACGUCCAUUAGUUUGUGUUUUUUUACUUAUUGCUUUAGAAUUAUGGUGCUAAAUUUUACAUAAUUUUGGGUUUUGUUGAUAUGGGUUCAGCAUGGUUUACAACCUGCAACAUAUAGGAGAGAGUGUAUUAUUUUACCCUCUAUUUUUCACUUCCAAGAUGGAAAUCCAGAGAAAUUGUUACUCUUUGAUUACAUAACAAAAGGAUUUCAAAGUGUUCAAUUUCUAGGUUCUUAUAACUCCAGAACCCAAGUUGAAAGAACCUCCCUUUAGUACCAUCUAAAACCAUCGUUAAGUUCGAGUGUCCUCCCAAGUGUAGGGACAUUUAGUUAGUCCCAGUCCAAAAUGUUUUAGUUUCUAUCAAAAAUAACCUCUUUACCUAAUAGUCGUAGGGUCUGCAUACGCACUACCCUUCUGGGACCCCAUUUGUUGGAACCACAUGGGGUAUGUUGUUGUAUUACUCCAAUUUCAAAUAAUAUUUGAUAAAUAUCACUAUGAGUGAAAUCUUCAUAUCCAUACAAAGCACAACAUUAGCACAAGAAAAGUUCAAAUCUUUAACAUUUCGAAAGUAACAUAGGUGUUCCAAAGUAUUUUCUCCAGUUUGCUAAAGUAAGAAUUUAUUGUAUGUUAUUGCUUUUUAUCACUUAAUUGUUUCUUAUUAUUUUUACAAAGUUCUAAUCGAGUAAAUAAUUUGCAAUCUCUUUUGCAGAUUGUCAAAGAAGCUUGUACUAAUCUUUUGCCAAACUUGCUGUGUGAAUAUCCUUAUAAUAUAUCUGAAGACUUCACUAAAUUCUCUAUCAACUGUCAAGUAUGAAAUUUUCCUAGCAUCAAAUAAAGUAAACCAGAGAAAUGCUGAAACAAAUACUAUGCACCCCAAUAAACCGGUGGCUAAAGUUGCUAUAGACCAGCUGUAACCACCAGUGAAACACCAAAUAAUUAAAGUUCAUCAUCUAAGAUUCAUGAAAAUCUUCAAGAAUGGUGAAGAUAUUGCAUAUAUAGAAACCACCAAGGGGUAUUGUAGGAUGAUUAAGAUCCAGCUAGGAGAAAAAGAGGUUAGCUUAAAUUGGUAAUUUAGCCAAAGGGGGAACAUGCAUCGAUUGGAUCAUUUAGAAUAGUUGUUCCAAUCCAAAUGUCUACCCCAGCAUAAAGAUCUUACACACCACAUCUACAUAAGAAGUGUAGUCUCCCCUUAGCUAACCUCUUUGACGCGAACUUAGAUCAGUUAGGCUAAAUGACUUUGGAUACCAGAUAAUUAAACUAAUAGAAGUAGCUGUCGUGUAGUAUAAAUAUGUUAUUUGAUUUGAUAGAUUGCAUUCAGAAACAUAUUUCGGAACUUUGUAGGUCAUUGGCUCGACUGAGGAAACAAGAAGACUCUUACUGUGUGAGGCAACAAUAGCUGUCAUAAGAAAGUGUUCCCAUCUGUUGGGUAUCACUACUGUUUACAAGAUUUAACAUCCAUAUGAUUUAGUUGUUUUUGUACUCUUUUUUUCUUCAUUAAAUUAGUACUGAGAUGAACUGUAUUUGAAUAGAGUAAACCUAUUACAUAAUUUUAUCAUAUUUGAUUUUCACUCAUAAGUUCUAAAAAUAUUUGUACAGCACAAAGCCACAUAUAUAUAGCCAUGUCCCUAUAUUUUCUUGAAAUUAGCACUCUAUUUCUUGAAGUUAGUGGGUAGUCAAGCAUUUGUAUAGUUCCUUUCUAAUAUUAAGCUAAAAUCUAUCUAUUUUGUACAUGUAUCCAAUGACUGUUCAUUUGGGAUAUUGAGUUGAAAAAGUGUCCGUUUAGACUUUGGACUCCUCAAUUGACAAGUAAAUAUUUCAACUGUGAUUAUACAUAUCUAAACACCUUAACUCGUCUCCACUAGAUCAAUUGAACACACCAACUUAAAAAAUGAUCAUCUAAAUCUCUCUAAAAUUUUUGUGUGUGUCACAUGAAUAUUAGGUGUCUACGAGACACAGGCAGAGAUGAGUUGGAGUGUGUAGUUUGUAGUUAAGAGUAAAUUAAGAUGUCUAAAUGUGCAUAUUCAGUGUUUUCUUUCAAAUAUGGAUUAUCUUACUAUUUAGUGGUAGUGAUUGUUUCAUUUUAGUAUGCUUUAUCAUGCUUCAUUUGGCAAUUUUGUCUUGGCUUUCACUAUUUUCUUUUCUGAAUAGCUUUGUAAUGCUUUUAAUUGAGUUUAGGGUCUAUCAAAAAUAACCUCUAUACCUUAUAGGGGUAAGGUCUACGUACACACUACCUUCCCUAGGCUCCAUUUGUGAGAUUACACUGGGUAUGUUGUUGUUUCUGUAGUCUGGUUUGUGUAUUAUGCUAUGAGCACAUUUCUUAUAAUUGCAUUGGUGCAUUAGGAAUCAAUAUGUAUGAGGUUUUGGGAGAUAAAGUGUAAGACCCCGCAAAAUUCUCUUAUAGCUGAGCCUUAGAGCGUGUUCAGCGAAGUGUAAAUCCAGCCCUAAAAGGUUGAGAAGUGUCUUUCCAAGUGAGAAAUAUUUUGAACCACAUAGAAUUUCCCUAAUAUUGACUUUUUAUCAUGUAGAUAAUUGAAUAUUCUUUCCGUCAAUACCAAUUUCAUUAAAAUCCAACACCGAAUGAGGAAGUUAUGGCCAUUUUACUGAAAGCAGUUGGAACCGCCCAGGUGCGACGGCUGGGUUGACGGACCGUCGAGCUUACUUCAGACCUUCGCCCAUACUUUUGCAACCAAAGCAGUGACUGGCCUAAGUGCAACAGCCAAGAUGAUGGACCGUCAAGACUAUGAUAGACCGUCACUGGGAUCGUCGCCGCUGAGACCGUCACUGGGAUCGUCGCCGCUGAGGCUGUGUGGCCUCAUCCUGACCAACGUGCGAUGGAUGAUCAGACGACCCAUCAGGUUUGUGACAGACCAUUGCUGAGACCAUCGCAUCGAGGAAAUAUGUUCUUUUUCUAACCGAUGUGCGAUGGACAAUCUGACAGACCGUUAGACUAAGCGACGGACCGUCGCUUCGACAGUCGCAGCCCCCGUUCAGCAUUUUAAACUCAUUUUAAAAAGGACUUUUUUUUCACUUUUUCAGCCCCUAUUUAUACCCGAAAGGAUCACAACUUUAUUUCUCCUCUUCAAUAUCAAAAUCUAGGGUUUCUACAAAAUGAAAACCCUUCUUUCUUCUUU